rnacentral:rRNA from 1 species
UCUUUCACCGGAAWYUUGCUCCACCGAAUGAYAAAGAGUGGCGAACGGGUGAGUAACACGUGGGUAACCUGCCCAUCRGAAGGGGAUAACACUUGGAAACAGGUGCUAAUACCGUAUAACACUAUUUUCCGCAUGGAAGAAAYUUGAAAGGCGCUUUUGCGUCACUGAUGGAUGGACCCGCGGUGCAUUAACUAGUUGGUGAGGUAACGGCUCACCAAGGCCACGAUGCAUAGCCSACCUGAGAGGGUGAUCGGCCACACUGGGACUGAGACACGGCCCA